rnacentral:rRNA from 1 species
GACGUAGGGCGCGAGCGUUGUCCGGAUUUAUUGGGCGUAAAGAGCUCGUAGGCGGUCUGUCGCGUCUGCUGUGAAAACCUGGGGCUUAACCCCGGGCCUGCAGUGGGUACGGGCAGACUAGAGUGUGGUAGGGGAGACUGGAAUUCCUGGUGUAGCGGUGAAAUGCGUAGAUAUCUGGAGGAACACCGGUGGCGAAGGCGGCAUUCUGGACCGAUAUUGACGCUGAGGAGCGAAAGCCAGGGGAGCAAACGGG